rnacentral:hammerhead_ribozyme from 1 species
AUCCAGCUUGACGCGUCCCAAAUAGGACGAAACGCGCUUCAAACUGUAU